CGCCCUUGGCUCGGCGGCCGCUGCAGAGUUUGAUCCUGGCUCAGAGCGAACGCUGGCGGCAGGCCUAACACGUGCAAGUCGAACGCCGACCCUUCGGGGUUAGUGGCGGCCGGGUGAGUAACACGUGGGAACGUGCCUUUAGGUUCGGAAUAGCUCCUGGAAACGGGUGGUAAUGCCGAAUGUGCCCUUCGGGGGAAAGAUUUAUCGCCUUUAGAGCGGCCCGCGUCUGAUUAGCUUGUUGGUGGGGUAAUGGCCCACCAAGGCUACGAUCAGUAGCUGGUCUGAGAGGAUGACCAGCCACAUUGGGACUGAGACACGGCCCAAACUCCUACGGGAGGCAGCAGUGGGGAAUCUUGCGCAAUGGGCGAAAGCUGACGCAGCCAUGCCGCGUGUAUGAUGAAGGUCUUAGGAUUGUAAAAUACUUUCACCGGUGAAGAUAAUGACUGUAGCCGGAGAAGAAGCCCCGGCUAACUUCGUGCCAGCAGCCGCGGUAAUACGAAGGGGGCUAGCCUUGCUCGGAAUUACUGGGCGUAAAGGGAGCGUAGGCGGACAUUUAAGUCAGAGGUGAAAUCCGGAGCUUAACUUCGGACUGCCUUUGAUACUGGGUGUCUUGAGUGUGAGACAGUAUGUCGACUCCAGUGUAGAGGUGAAUUCGUAGAUAUCCGGAACACAGUGGCGAGGCACAUACUGCUCAUACUGACGCUGAGCUCAACUGGGACAACAGUAAUACCUGGUAUCCACGCGUAACGAUAUUCUAGUGUCGACUC
rnacentral:rRNA from 1 species